GCUUAAUCUUGUUAAUCGCUUAAUCUUGCAACCACCCUAAUAAUAGAAGUCUUCGGAGGUCAAUCUACAGCAGGGGUGUCUAACUUUAGCAGGUUUUAAACUUGUGAUCUUCAACUACCAGGAUUCCACAGCCAGGCUGGCCGAGGAAUUCUGUGAAUUGAAGUCCACAAGUCAAAAAUUGCCAAGAUUAAGCACCCCUGAUCUACAGGUUUCCUGGAAUGGUUUUCUCUACAGCCAGAUCUACAUUUUCUUUGCAAGGUUUUCUCUGCACACCCAAAUUUGGUCUCAUUCAGUUCAGUUUUGGAGAAGUUCUUCUGUUUGGUCAUCCCAAAUAUUAUAUUUCAAUAUUUCCAGCUUUCCUCUCCUUUGGUUAAAAACUAAAAAAGCUUAUAAAAGCACUUUUCUUUUAAAUUAAAAACUGAGUGUAUGGAGCACCUUAGAAAGCUUAAGAUGCCAAAAUUCUGGAAGUUGAAGUCCAUAAUAUCUGAAAGUUGAGAAAUGCCGGAUUACAGAAAAGGGUCCCAAGCUGGCUCUGGCUGUUUUUUUGUUUGUUUUGUUUGUUUGUUUUUAUGUAACUUGGCUAAAUUCUAACCAUGCCUUGAGAGAGGAGUCUCAGCCAUUGUGUCACUACUGUAGUUGUUAUACAAAGAGGAAUCAAUUAGGUGAAUGCUGAUUUUAAAAAGGGAUUAUCUAUCCCAUGCAUUGCAGAGAUUACAAUAUUGCAAACUUAGAAAAUCUUUGCCUUGCAAUAAAACGAGACUGAAUCGGCAUGAAGUUAAGCCCAUCCCUACAUUAUAUAUACACCUGUUAGUUGAUGGAAGGUAGUUGCCCCUGGGCCCAACUUUCUGACAAAUCAGCUGGAUCAAUGCCUUUGAGAGGAAGAAGAGCAGCAGCAAAAAGAAUAAUCUGCACCGGUGGUGGGUUGCCCCCAGUUCGGGCCAGUUCGCAGGAACCAGUAGUAAAACCGGCGGGAGGCUCCGCCCACCGACCCUGAUGUUAGGAAGCUUCUGUGCAUGCAGCCCCAUUGCG